GAAGCUUAGCAAAUGCCUGGGGAGAGAGGAAGGGCAGAUCUAGCCCUGGCCCCCACUAGGGCCCCAGACCAGCUGAGGUGGCCACAGGGACAAUGAUGCCAUUUGCUUCUAGCACUCCUGCCCUCAUCCCCUGAGGCCCCUCCCCUCCUCCCAGUGGAGAGUUCUGGACAGGAAUAGGCCUGAGCUUUUAGGACGGCAGGUGUUCUUAAAGAUGAAUAAUGCUCCGCCCCCCAUGCUGGGUCUUCUGGGGAUGAGCCACAGCCUGGAGGAGCUGAGGAGGCCACAUCACAUGAGGAAGCUUUACUGUUUCCCCUUCUCCUGAAAUGUGUCUGGGAUGGAGAGUGUGGAGAGUGGGCCCACCUUUAUCUGGGUCCACUCAGGCUGCUGCAGAGACUACCCCAGACUGGGUGGCUGAUAGACAAGACAUUCAUUUUCCACACUUCCUGAGACUGAGAAGUCUGAGAUGAAGAAACCUAGAAGCAAGGAAGCUGCCACCAUGAUGCAGCGGGGAGUCCGAGGCCCUGGGAGGUCAUAUGACUCAUUCAAGGUCAUCCUGCUGUGGCAGAGAUGCGAUGAAGCCCUGGCUUUGGCCUUCUUGGCAGCCAACCUCGAAGCACCACAUCGGGCUUUGAAAUGUGCGGGGCCUUUGAGAUUCAGCGCAUCUGAAUCUGAAUUUAUGCCGUCUCACUUGCUGGAAUCUACUGAUCUGUCCACUGUUCCUGGAAGAAAUACUUUGUUUUCAUGUGCCAGUUGCCUUUCCAGCCUGACUGUCAGCCCAAGGUCGCAGAGAAGAUCUGAUUGCAUGUCCUUGAUUUUGCUGCUCCCAUUCCGAGAACCAGCUUCCUCCUCUGGAAGGUCGACUGAGGGGGGCUUGACUGGACUUGGCUCAAGGCUGCAAGUGGUCCAGGUCUGCUCUGUGUGUCUUUCAUCCUCCCCAACCAGUUAGAAAACGUGAUAUCCUCUUCUACGAUGAUGAUGGAAAUACAAAAUUGGUGUUCAGGCACUUCAGGACCUCUCACCUCUGUGAAGGGACUUGGGAGACACCCAGAAAAUGCCCUGUCCAUCUUCCUCGCGCUGACUCUCCAGACUCUUUGGAAAGAGUAAAUCCGUGUGCAGAGCACCUGGCUCCAGAGCUUUGGGGCCUCAGUGGGAGAGAGCGUUUGGAAGAGAAUCGAAUUUCCUUUCUGCAUCUGUGUGCUGGUGCCCAGUGCACCCUGGGACGCUAACGAACAGUGACAGAUGAGCUUCAAUUGGCUGGCGCGUGUGAGGAACCACUGGACCAGGCAAAAGAAAGCAUCAUCGGAGCCCAGCAAGGGAGGAGGAGAGAGGCUUUGCUUCAUGAAAGCCUGAACAGCAUCCAACCGAAACCAGCCGCCGCCGCCGCGCCCUGACGUGCUUCACAACCUUGGACCAGCAAGGCCAUUGCAAUACAAGCCGAGGUUGGGAAGAGUGAGGCUCAGAGACCACAGAGAUACUUUGACACAUGGAAAAAGGCAAGACUUCCUUCCCAGGAGAUUUAUCAUUCUUCAAAAAAAUGGGGUUCUCAAAGAUUCAAGGUAUUUGCUAUUCAUGCUAUUCAUGCAAACACGCUUGCACCUUGGUGUUUUAUGGUAAGGAUUCUGGGAACCAUAGGGAAGACCAGAAUCUCCAUUCCUGACACCCGUGUACUGGAAGCCACUCCCCUCGCCUCUCCCAAAUUAAAUCCACUUGGAGCCUCAGAAUGGGACAUUUCUUGGAAUAAGGAUCUCAGUAGACAUAAUUAGAGUAAGGGAGAGAUGACCUCAUCCUGGAGGAGGGUGGACCCUUAGUCCAAUGACAAGUGUCCUUAUGGGAGACAGUAAGGAGAAGACACAUAGACACAGGGGAGAAGGUCCUGUGAAGACAAAGGCAGAAGCUGCAAUGAUGGGUUUACAAGCCAAGGAAUGCCAGGGGUUUCUGGCAUCACAGAAUCUAGGAGAGUAUCUGGAAUGGACUUUUUUUUUUUCCCCAAGGUCAUUGCUUACUUUUAUUUAUUUAGUGAUUUUUAUUUUUUUCCAUUACAGUUGGUUUUCAGUGGUCUGUCAAUUCUCUACUAUACAGCAAAGUGACCCAGUCACACAUACAUAUAUACAUUUUUUAUCACAUUAUCUUCUAUCAUGUUCCAUCACAAGUGAGUAUAUAUAGUUCCUAGUGCUAUACAGCAGGAUCUCAUUGCUUAUCCAUUCCAAAGGCAAUAAUUUGCAUCUGGAAUGGACUUUCAGAGCUUCCAGAAGGAACCAAUCCUGCCAACACCCUGAUUUCAGACAUCUGGCCUCUAGAACUGUUGAGAACUGUUACUUCAAGCCACCCAAUUGUGGUCAUUUGUCACCUAGGCACCUCUAGUAAGUGAAUGAAAUGGAGCAGUAUAAAAAUACAAGGGAAGCCCAGCAGGGCCAUCGGGACCAGGAAGUCGGGGGUCCUCACCCCUCGCCAUCACGUGUGGGUACCCUCUGCUUCUCUUCCUGGCACCUCUCAGCUCCUCUAUCACUCUGCUCUUCCAGCUGCCACCAGCCCGCCACAUUGCCCCUCCAGAGGUCCUCCCUUUGCUUAAGGCUCUGCUGCUGAGCUGUCCUGUGUCUAUCAGUCUGGGGUCUUUCCAUGUCUGUUACAUAUGCUAACCUGCCAACUCUCUCAUUAUAUUAAAAAUGUCCAAGAGAGGUGAGCUGAUGGUUGAGCUCACCACCAUCACCCCCCAAAGGGCAAAGCUUUCACCCCAGGCCAGCUCACAGGCAGCAGACCUUGGCCCUGAUCCUCCAGGCAUGGCCAGGGAGGUGGGCCAGGCAUUCCCAUCAGCACAGGGGGCCCUGGAAGGGCAGGACAGAUGCCUGGAAACAGUCCCAGGUUGGUGGCCCCUUCACUGCUGAGACUAAACUUCCUGCAGAAUUGAAGAAUAGGCAGUAGGAAGGCGAAAGGGAAGAAGCACUUUUUUUUUUUUUUCCAAUAGAAGAAGGAAAGUGUCAUCAAUAGAAGCUGUUGAAAAGUCCAAAUUGCAACCUUCUUGCCUCCUUUUGAUGAGCUGCCUUGAUGAGCUGUUUAGAAGAGCUCAUUGCUCUGGGUCAGCGUGACAGCUGUUGAUGACAAGGGGUAGGCGGGGAGAGGUUAGGCAGGAGGAAUAUGCGGCCAGGGCCUUGGCCAUGAUGGAUAUGCACCAAGCCUGUGCACCCCAGGUCUUUGCAAAGGGUCCAUGACAAACAGCCCAUGGUGCAUUGGGCUGUUUUACUGUAAUUCACUCCCCAAAUGCUUCUGGUGUGCAGCCCUGUGCUGAAGACACUGCCCAGACAUCCUCUCAUUUACUUUCUCCCAAGCUCCAGAGAGUGGAUGUCAGGUUGAGCUUAUGUAGUUCAGGGAUUGCAGAUGUGAACACCCAAAGUCCCAGGACCAGUACGUGAUGGAGUCAGGAUUCAAACUUAGGUCAGAGGAGGCUAGAGACAUGGCUGAGCACAGUGUAUGGUCCUUGGGGGCAUGAAGGAGAGCUAUAAAGGAUGUUAUGAGGAAUCCAGAUCAGAUAAUAGUUUUCUAUGGAGGUUAAAUUUCCCGAGUUUAAUAACUAUACUAUGAAAAUGUAGGAGAAGUUUAAGACUAAUAGGAACAAUGUCCCCAGUGUACUCUUAAAUAGAUGAGGGAGGGGAUGCGUGGAGGGAGAGAGGGAGAGAAUGAGAAAGGGAGAAUAAUAAAGUGAAUGAGACAAAAUGUGGUGAACUAUGGGUUGAUUUGCAUCUCCUAGAAUUUUAUAUAAACGUUAUUAUGUUGAAUGUACUCCUUUUUGCUGGCUUCUCUUGUACAUAAUUUCUUUGAGAGCCAUCCAUGUUGUAGCAGGCAUCCAAAUUCAUUCCUUUUCAUAGCUAAGUAGUAUUUCAUCUAACGGAUAAACCAGUUAGUCUAUUCAUUCCCCUGCUGUUGGACACUGGUUGUUUUCAGUUUUGGGCAGUCAGGAAUCAAGCAGCCAUGAUUUGUGUCCCAGUUCUUUGGGUGGGCAUUGCUUUUGUUUCAACAGAAUGCCUAGAUCAUAUAUAUGGUAGGUGUGUGUUAACUGUUUAAGAAAUUGCCCAACUAUUUUCCAAAGCAGCUGUACCCCCCAGUAGUGCACGAGGCUUCCUGUUUCUCCACAUUCUUUCCUUGGUAUGGACUGACUUGGUAUUGCUGGUCUUUUCCAUUAGAGCCCUUCCAGUGGACCUGUAGUGAUGUCUCCUUGUGGUUUUCACUUGCAUUUUCCUAGUGACCAGUGGUGUUGCUCUUAUCCCCCUGCCAUUCCCUCUCCUGCUUUUCUGGGGGCACUGCGACCUUCUGGGGCAAGACCUCAGGGACUUGCCCCUACAGCCCAGAGGUGAACAGUCACGUCCCGAACAGAAAGCAUGCAAGUGGAUGGGCCCAGGAUGAAGACUGGAGGGCCACAUAAGAGCCUGGGGUGCUUUCAGGCCAAGGUAUUUGUCCCAUGGCUCUGACGAGCAGAACCCACCCUUCAGAUGGGGCACCCACCUGCUCAGCAGCCCAUGCUCGAGCUUUUCCACAGGCAGUCAGUACACAGGAUACUUCAGGUCCUAACCCUCAGACGUGAUGUGUUUGCUCAACAACCCUUAAGUUCCUCCCCUGUGUUCAGUUCUGUGACCAGUAUAAGCCUUUGAUGGGUUUUGGUUAUUGGCAAUUAUCAGAGUAAAGUGAAAACUCUCAAGGAUAAUCUGCAAGGCCUUUCUUGAUCAAGUUCCUAAAUUUGGUCUUUCCUACCACAUCCUUCCACAUCCCUCCAGCCUACGCUCCACAUCUAACAAACACCCCAGUGUCCCAGACUUGCCAGCUCCUUCCUGCCUCCCUGCCUUAACCUUCCCUCCUGCUUCUCCCUCCCUUGGCCAGUGGAGACCUUCUCAGCCUGUCACAGCACCAAGCGUCCCUUGUGCCUCUCCUCAACCUCAAAGGAUGGUUUUUUCAGGACCAGCAUGGUCUCAACUGGAUCCAUGUACAGUUUAUGCGGGUCACGGGGAGUGGGGAGGGGCCUGUGAGCCGAAAGGCUGGAUGCUGUUACACACCCACUGCAGCACACAGAGGUUCCUCGUCAGCUGGGCCCGGCUGAAUUGAGUGCAUUUCUGCACCAUGCCUUCCCCCCCCUGAUCGUGGGGACUGGGAUGACUCCCCACCGCCACCACUCCCACAUGUGGCUCACAAGUCACUCCAAUUGCCGGAGGUGGCACCCGCCAUGUUCUGAAAAGCUAAGUGCCUUCGCCCCCUUCGCCACCCUUACCUGGAACAGCCAUUUUUGUUGUGUGAACACAUGGCCCGGGAACUUAAACACUAAAACCAGUUAGUUCCUCAGGGGGCGUCAUCUUAACCAUGCCAAACUCAACAAGAUAUAAACUGGUCCUAGAAGCCUUCUCUUCCUCCUUCCUUCAUUUUUUUUUUUUUUCUUUUUCUUGUUCCAGCAGCACUUAUCCAUCUGUGCUUCCACCACAGAGCUAUUCCCACUAGAAAUGCCGUGAAACCUUUCAAAUAAAAUAUUUAACGUGUGGAUCCAGUAAUUUUAUGUUGUGAGUUAUGAAACCUUUAUUCAGGUCCCACCUUUUAUUAAACUUCAGGGUUCGCCUUUGGUCUCUAAUGACAUUAUGUUGCAUCAGAAUUAGACAGUUUUUUACAGGGGUUUGUAUUAUUUGUUGUGACUCGGUAAUGCUAAUGUUUAAAUUUUGAGUCCUUUUACUGCUGAUUAAACCUCUAAAGACUACAGCAGAAUUUCCGCUUCGCUGCUAGAAGAAAAGAAAACAGCGCGGUUUGUUCUGAGGAGAUCACUUGAAGAAUGUGCGGGAAGGUGGCUGCAUUUAUGAAUAAAGCGAGGCAUUAUCAUUUUUAAUAGGAAUUAAACAGCUAGAGGGAGAAGUCGGGCAAUGCUGUGAUCAGUGCAAAGGAAAACAAUCUAACAAUUUUAAUUAACUGUAUUUUAAUAGCUUUAGUUAUAAUUGAAUAAUUUAAAUACCAAGGGAAACAGUUAAAUCUCCUAAAAGCCUUUUUUUAUUUACAUUUUAAAUACAGUUCACGGUGAAGAGAUGACAGUACAAGUGCUGG
rnacentral:lncRNA from 9 species